AUAAAGAAAUUUAACUUUCAAACUGGCAACACUUGGGGACUAAACUGAGCAAUGAAAAAGGCUGCCCAAAGUGGACUAUCCAAGAAGUUAUGAUCACAAGCUGGGGCACUGAAACGCUCAUGUUCACUAAUGUAAAGCAGUCGUUUUAAUGCUGUGGCUACGGAAUGAAUAUUUUUUGCAUCAGUAAUAUGCAGUUUAUCUCAAAGACUGAUUGUAAAGCACCUCUAGAAAGUAUUCAAUUCUAAUUGAUUUCAUGUAUUUAUUUCUGCCUAUAUUAUGCACCCAUGGCGCUUAUUUUCUUCAGAGAAUGAGGAAGAGAAGAGUCCAGUGAUAGAUAUGAAUGAUACAUAGAGAGAGAGAGAGCAACCAUUUGAAUCCAGAUGGGUCUAUUGACCAGAGAGACUUCUUGCCAACUCCUCCUGCUGUACCACCCUCCUGCCUUCUCAUGGACGAGCAGUGUCCAGAGCAGGCACCACUGGCAGUUCUCAAAUGCACUGAUUUACCUGGUCAGAGUAAAAAGAAGAGAGGCUUCUUCUUCAAAGGAAAAAAGCU